GACGAACGCUGGCGGCGUGCCUAAUACAUGCCAGUCGAACAGUGGCGAACGGGUGAGUAACACGUUAGUAACCUGCCCUCCACUUUGGGAUAACUCCGAGAAAUCGGGGCUAAUACUGGAUAGUGGGGGAUGGGCUCGCGGCCUAUCAGUUUGUUGGUGGGGUAGUGGUCACCAAGGCGUGACGGGUAGCCGGCCUGAGAGGGCGACCGGCCACAAUGGGACUGAGACACGGCGCAGACUGCUACGGGACGCAGCAGUGGGGAGUAUUGCACAAUGGGGGAAAGCCUGAUGCAGCGACGCCGCGUGGGGGAUGACGGCCUUGGGGUUGUAAACCUCUUUAAGCAAGGAAGCGGUACUUGCAGAAGAAGCGCCGGCUAACUACGUGCCAGCAGCCGCGGUAAUUC
rnacentral:rRNA from 1 species